UACGAAGGGGGCUAGCGUUGCUCGGAAUUACUGGGCGUAAAGCGCACGUAGGCGGUUUCUUAAGUCGGAUGGUGAAAUCCUGGAGCUCAACUCCAGAACUGCCUCGAUACUGGGGAAACUUGAGUUCGGGAGAGGUGAGUGGAACUGCGAGUGUAGAGGUGAAAAUUCGUAGAUAUUCGCAAGAACACCAGUGGCGAAGGCG
rnacentral:rRNA from 1 species